ensembl:ncRNA asRNA:bsAS blistered anti-sense lncRNA
AGUCUGUGAGCAACUGCGUGACCUGCACGACGAACGAGGAACGAUCCUCGGCUUCUUGCUUCAGUGAUUGAAAUACGUGAACAGUGUGGUCAAUCAGUGAUGGCUGGAAAGUGUGUGAAGAAAAUUGUAUGGACACAUAGCAAGAUGGUGACUUGAAUACUUGAGACUUGAUCGGGGUGAUAGCGGAUGCUGGGAAGGAGAUCUGAAGAAGAUCUGGACAAGACCGGCUGGCACCUAGUCAUGGAUUGCGAAGGCGGCGGCGCAGGAGCAGCAGCAGCAGCAGGAGCAGGAGCAGCGGCUUCAGGAGUUGGAGGUUGUCGAUGGCCAAGUGGCCAAGUACCAAGUACCCAGCGACUUGGAUCGCCAGAAGUUGCCGACUCACAAUGUGUGUGCGCAAAGGCUUUAAGAAAUGCCGAAUUCCAGAAGCUGCAGUACAAUCAGUUGAAUUAAAAAACGAGCGCACAGACAGAGGACGACGUCUGGAUGGGAUUCGGAUUGGGGACUGGGGUUGUGGCUGUGGAUUGGGAUGGGGAUGGGAAUGGGGAGACGGGGAGACGGGGUCCCUCCAGUGGAUCGCCGGCGAUAUCAUCGCGUGGUGAGCGCGGGCUAGGAAAUUAAGAGGACAUUGUGGCGGCAUGCGGUUAGAACUCGCAGCGGCGGCUUAAACACAAAAUCCGCGGAGGAGAUUCCUUGCGUGGCUGCGUUGUUGGUGGCUUUCGGACAGCUGGACGCUGCCUGACAGAGGUCGCCCUCGUACGUAAUCGACGAGCAUUGCAAAUGCUUGUGUCCUCCGCCUGCGUCUUGUGCUGCGCACGUGGCCAUGUUACAGGCGCAGCAGCAGCAGCAGCCGCAGCAACAGCAACUGCAGCCAGAGCCAAGCAGCAAAUCAUUGAAAUGUCGUUAGAGGCUCGAGCGGCACGCAGCGUCGAUAGUCAGCGAAACCGCAAAAUGCUUUUAAUUUCUCAAACUGAUAUGCACCCGUGCUCCCACCGCCGAGGAGGAAGCCGGGGCCAGAGGUUUGGUCUUUGUUUCUGCCUCGGGUUUUCUAUUCCAGCUAAUUCGGUAGAAAACGUAAUGAUGAGGAACUGGGGGUAGAGUUCACAGCACUAGAUUUGCCAGGGAAAGAUGACAAAGACAAGGUGUUCAGUACAGUACUAAAAGAUAGUCAUUGCCAAGCUACAGUAAUUUCAUUCGGCUAUUAGUACAUACACACAUGCAACAAUCAUUUAAA